rnacentral:tRNA from 1 species
GCGGGGGUGCCCGAGCCAGGUCAAAGGGGGCAGGCUCAAGACCUGCUGCCUUAGUGGCUGCGUGGGUUCAAAUCCCACCCCCCGCA